UACGUAGGGUGCAAGCGUUGUCCGGAAUUAUUGGGCGUAAAGAGCUCGUAGGCGGUCUGUCGCGUCUGCUGUGAAAACUCAGGGCUUAACCCUGAGCUUGCAGUGGGUACGGGCAGACUAGAGUGCGGUAGGGGAGACUGGAAUUCCUGGUGUAGCGGUGAAAUGCGCAGAUAUCGAGGAGGAACACCGGUGGCGAAGGCGGGUCUCUGGGCCGUAACUGACGCUGGAGGAAGCGAAAGCAUGGGGAGCGAA
rnacentral:rRNA from 1 species